ensembl:lncRNA
CAAGAAAAUGAUGGUUGCUGUAGCAAGGGUAGGUUUGGUCUCAGUAAUGAGAGCCUUGAGCCAAAACUCUGUCUACCAUGAUUCUCCAUGUUAUCUCUGACUCUAUAGUAUGUAAGAUCAACUAGGUUAGUAAGAGCUUAGAGGGUGAAAAACAAGCUUCAAUACAUAUUGACAGAAUCUGAGUGAUAAAGGAGAUAAACAAAGUGUCAUGGGAGUUUAGAUAAAAGGAUAUCAGCUCUUUUUAAGGACUUCUGAAAUAGAAUAUUUUCAAAUGAAAACUAUGCCCUGAAAGUACAUUUAAACUAAGGCAGCACCACCUCAUAUCUUAUUCUCCAAGGGAUAUGGAAAAACAAAUCUGCCUUAAGCCAUUCAGUGAGGAGCUUAACUCUGGACCAGCUAGAGAAUUCAAACAAAGAAGAAGAAAGAAGAUUCUGAACAUAGCAGCUUAAGAACCAAUGUGUAAGACUGGACUUGAUGGAGGCAGAGAAGACUACAAUGAAAGUACCGUGGAAGGACCCCAGAGCAAAACUGGUCGGGUUGAAAAUUGCCCACCACACUGAAGUUGUGCACUUCACAAAGUGAGUCCAAACACCCAGAAUUUCAAUUAUUGGAACUCGUGAUUUAUUAAUAAAGAACAAAUGAAGAAUCUACCA